CUUAGAAGGUCCUUGGAAUCUUCUGGAGGUUUCAAGCCCAGCAGAAGCAGAAAGCUCCUGAACUGAGGGGGAGAAAAGAUUUGGAAACCCUCUGUUUUAUGAACUUGCUUCUUUAUUGCAGACACAGGUGAGGCGGUGACAGUCUUGAAUCAGUGCCUGGAUGCAUUAAUGGACUGGAUGAAGGUGAACAAGCUGAGACCAGACAGAAGUAUUGCUGGUCGGUGGUUCCUCUGCCUGGGUGAAUGAUGGUUAUCUCAGAAAGUGCCUGACCCCAUAUGACCCAACCUGGACCUUAAGAUCUUUUUCAGAGGCCCUCCUCCGAGUACCCUUGCCAAACAAGUCAUGGCUGAAUACCUUGCAAUUAUCAGGGCAAUGUUUUGGACCCCAUAGACACCAUCUCUCCCCACAAAAGUAUCCUGCACAACCUCGAAGCUGAGAUAUUAAAAAUCAAUCUGUCCCUUCCUUCGACUGGGCCAAGAGGAAUUAAAUGAGGAACAUAAGGCAACGAGCAAGAAGAAGAAGAUGCUGAAGAGGAAAAGAGGAUAUAUGAGUCCAUGGCCACUGGUCCAGGCACGUGAUUGAGUGAAAGGGAGGGGGAGGGAUUAGGAGUCGAUGGAAUGGCAUAGAGCAACCUGAUGUAUUGUCCAGACAUGUCAAAGUCAAAGACAAGGACAGGAACAUUAAAGGAAAGGAGUUAAGACUAUUUGAUUCCCCUCUCCCGCCACACACAAAUAUCCUGUAUCCUCUGCAUUUGCAUUCAGAUCUUCUCAGAACAGGGGAUGUAAGCAGAAUACCGUGAGCCCAUAACUCCCCUGUUAAGGCCCAUUUCUCCCACUGAGCCAAAGAAUAUGCAACAGCCUUUGUGCGUCAUCUUCCUCUGUUACCUUUGCCUCUGUCAUCUUCCCAUAUCU